rnacentral:rRNA from 1 species
GUCAAAUCAGCACGGCCCUUACGUCCGGGGCGACACACGUGUUACAAUGGCAGGUACAGCGGGAAGCCACCGGGCGACCGGGCGCGGAACCCGAAAACCUGUCUCAGUUCGGAUCGGAGUCUGCAACCCGACUCCGUGAAGCUGGAUUCGCUAGUAAUCGCGCAUCAGCCACGGCGCGGUGAAUACGUUCCCGGGCCUUGUACACACCGCCCGUCAAGCCAUGGGAGCCGGGGGUGCCUGAAGUCCGUGACCGCAAGGGGCGGCCUAGGGUAAAACCGGUGACUGGGGCUAAGUCGUAACAAGG